AAAGAAACUAACAAGGAUUCCCCUAGUAACGGCGAGUGAAGAGGGAAGAGCUCAAAUUUUAAAUCUGCCUUGUUCCAAGGUCGAGUUGUAAUUUGAAGAAGCGUUUUCUUGGGCUCGCGGCCGGUAGAAGUUCUUUGGAACAGGACAUCAUAGAGGGUGACAAUCCCGUCCGUGACCGGUCGUGCGUUCAUCUACGAUACGCUUUCAAAGAGUCGAGUUGUUUGGGAUUGCAGCUCCAAACGGGUGGUAAACAUCACCUAAGGCUAAAUAUUGGCGAGAGACCGAUAGCGAACAAGUACCGUGAGGGAAAGAUGAAAAGAACUUUGAAAAGAGAGUUAAACAGUACGUGAAAUUGUUGAAAGGGAAACGAUUGAAGUCAGUCGUGCUGGCGCGAAAUCAACCCUCUCGUCUUGAGAUCACAUGGCGCGACGAGCCUCAAAACCGUCACGAAGCGUGAACUCUUGACGAAAAGGUGCACUUUCGUGUCCGCUGGUUAACAUCAAUUUCGAACGUCAUAAAAAGGCUGGAGGGAUGUGGCUCCUUCGGGAGUGUUAUAACCUUUAGCGGAAUGUGGCGUUCGGGAUUGAGGAUUGCAACGAAUACCUUCAGGGCUGUUCCACCUGGCUUCUCAUUGGUAUCCUGGUGACGACAGCUUGCUGACGUCGUUAGGAUCAGCUUCUGAACAGGCUAGAGUGUGAGCAAAUUCGUUAAGGAUGUUAACGUAAUGGCUUUAAACGACCCGUCUUGAAAC
rnacentral:rRNA from 1 species